rnacentral:rRNA from 1 species
CCUACGGGAGGCUGCAGUGGGGAAUAUUGGACAAUGGGGGGAACCCUGAUCCAGCCAUGCCGCGUGUGUGAAGAAGGCCCUCGGGUUGUAAAGCACUUUCAGUGAGGAAGAACGCCUGGUGGUUAAUACCCAUCAGGAAAGACAUCACUCACAGAAGAAGCACCGGCUAACUCCGUGCCAGCAGCCGCGGUAAUACGGAGGGUGCGAGCGUUAAUCGGAAUUACUGGGCGUAAAGCGCGCGUAGGUGGCUUGAUAAGCCGGUUGUGAAAGCCCCGGGCUCAACCUGGGAACGGCAUCCGGAACUGUCAAGCUAGAGUGCAGGAGAGGAAAGUAGAAUUCCCGGUGUAGCGGUGAAAUGCGUAGAGAUCGGGAGGAAUACCAGUGGCGAAGGCGGCCUUCUGGACUGACACUGACACUGAGGUGCGAAAGCGUGGGUAGCAAACAGGAUUAGAUACCCCUGUAGUC